rnacentral:rRNA from 1 species
CCCGGGCCUUGUACACACCGCCCGUCACACCACGAAAGUUAGGCAAUACCCGAAGCCGGUGGGCUAACCCGCCUAAGGGGAGGCAGCCGUCGAAAGGUAGGGUCGAUGAUUGGGGUG